rnacentral:lncRNA from 1 species
CGGAAGCUGCCUUGUAUCCGCGUCUCCGCAGGGAAAACUGCGGCUGGCGGUGCGGGAAGUGCUAUUAGUAGUUGUUUAUUUGUUUGUUUGCAGAAAUAAUUGCUUGGGUACGAAGGUCAAACGAGAAUGAAGCAAGUAUAUUAUCUAGUUUGUAUGUCUUUAAAUAGUUUCUCCUCCACACGUCUAAACAUACGCACCUGCUAGUAGGUGCGCAAAUGUUAAAACCUCUUUGGGAAAGCAAUGUGGCAAAAUCUAGUAAAAGUUUUCAAUUACUAAACCCCAGCACUCUGCUCCUACCUAUAUGUCUUGUAGAAACUUUGUAGCUUGAUCUUUCUCAUCUUCUUGAUUCCCGAAAGAGGCUUCCUAAGAGAAGUGAUGCCCAAGACAUUAAAACAUGAAUGGGCGUUAGAUGAAGACAAAAGAGCAUUCCAUCGUAGAAGACAAUGUAGCAUGUGACGGUAAAGAUUUCCCAAGACCAAAAAGCUUAGGAGCACUGCCCCAUUCCACUGUUCUGCUGCUGGUUUUGCUUUGACUCUCCCAGAGGAAAACCGGGGUUGUCACUGGAAGUUCCUGAAGUAAUCUCCUUUUUUAGCAAACUUUUCAUUAUUACACUAUUUGGGUCAUGGUACAACUUUGCUGAAUUGCCUUGAACUGAAGUAUUGGAUUUUUACUUUAAUUUAUCCUGUGAUUAUGCUGAUUUUGCUUCACUGAUAUUCUGUCAUGUCCUUAGAUUUCUAAUGAAACUGCUCAGAAAUCAACCAGGUAAAAUUUUAUGGGAAAGUUAGGUGGGGAACUAGCACUUGGUUAUGUUUGUAUAAAAAGAAACCCACAAAAUUUUUUCUCAAAACAGUGUUUCUGGUUGUCAAAUGAAAUAGGGGAGCAAUUAGACUUCUGUCUGGUGAGUAGAUUAAAAUAUUUCUGCUGACUGCUAUUGUGUCCUUUCUGUACCUCUGAGGUAUCAUUCAGAUACUUGGCUGUCCUCUGAUGGAAUAAGAAGAAUCUGUGGUUGAAAUAUUUUGACUAUAGUACUUGCUGACAAAAGGCAAAAACCCUUUUAACAAUUAGAAAAAUUACUCUGGCUAAAGUUUCAUAUAUGCCAGGAAUAUUUGAAAUAGACCUUAUUUUUUUGAAAACUGACAAUAUAACCACUAUAAUGAACCACAAUGCCAUAAAAAUAUUUCUGCAUAAUAGUUAAUAUGAAAUGCCUUUAAAAGUUUUAGUACUGGGAUUUGUAGCGGAAGCAUAAAAUGCAAUGUGAAGAACAUUUCUCAGACAUUAGUUUAAUGCUAUUAAUUUGUACUUAGAUUUCAAAAUCUAUAGAUGCAAUUUUACUACCAAUUAUUUUCUUCAAACUAUUUUUAAAAUACCUAUGAUGCUUAAAUUUUCACUUCUGUAGUACAGUCCUCUCUCUAUAUCUGGGGGAAUUGCUUCCAGAACUACUCAGAUACCAAAAUUCAUGAAUGCUCAAGUCCCUGAUACAAAAUGGCAUAGUAUUUGCAUAUAACCUACACACAUCCUCCUAACAGUUUAAAUAAUCUCUACAUUAUUUAUUAAUAUGAUACCUAAUACAAUGUAAUGUUAUAUAAAUAAUUGUACCAU